GCACAGCUCAAUACUACUACUACUACUACCUAAUACUUUUCAAAUAAAUUUAAGAGACCUGGAGUGAAGAUGACAAUAGGUUGCAAUCACCAUCAUUUCGGGUGUGAACCAAUGAAUCGAAAUUGAAGUGUCUACACUAAACUUAUUAUAUUUAUAAUAAAAAAUAUGCAAUUCCUAUUACCGUAAACGGAAGAGAUCUCAAAGUUAUUUUGGUUGGGGCUGAACACAUGUUGGACAUGAGAUUUUUACCAACGGGUGAGGACAUGUUGAUCCAAGAGACUAUGUUAGCUACGAUUCAAGACGGACGCUGAAAUUUUCUGUUAACGUUUCCAAAAGAACAGGCUAAGAACACCGUUCCAAAUAUGGUGGCGGAUUAUCCAAGGCGUUUAUCAGAUGCAGGAUAUUUUGGUACUAGCACCACUGUCGAUUAAGUGAUCGAGGUCAACAUGAACCAUAAAAACGAAUAAAAUGAGGAAAAUUAAUAUUAAACAAAAAUUGGCAUAAACACUUCGCCUUCGGUGAUAAUGAAAAUGGGUUUUCUGCGACACUGUUGGAACACAAAUCAUUAAGUCUCUUCCAUUUACCACAAAACGGAUCUUCAAAUUAAAUAAACUUAAUAAAUUUAAAGUAUAAUAAAAAUUACAUAAAAGCAACAUAGUUACAACAUUGAAAAUGACCAGACCUGCUGGAAAUCUACGGAUACGCAACAAGAGAGAAAUAACAAUAUACAUGUAGUGUACUUCUUUCCACAUUACAAGAAGUGCUAUAACGGAAACAAGAAUCGGAAACAUGUCGAUCAAACGUGAUAAUAAAACAGGUGAAGAUAUAGAAUAUGGUCGUAUUAUAGUUCGAGGCAACGGCAAACGAUACCGGCAAAAAGAAACACGGAAUAUUUAUAUGUUCAUAGAACUAGGUGGAGAUGAAAAUAUACCACAUUCGCAAAUAACAUCACUCCAGGUGUGAGCUGAAUGAAUCGACAUUGAACUGAAUGUUUGAAAUUUGUAGUUGUUGUUGACAACAAUGGAUUGAAUAAGUAAAUAAUCUGACCACACUAAACUCAUUCUAACAAAAAAUUACUGCAAAGGGGUGAGACUUGGUGGUCUGUACUCAAAGUGGGUCGAGAGAAACCGCUGCCCAUUGCAAAAAUAAUAAUGAUCGAUUUCUGAAGGCUACAUAGCGCAAUCCCAUGUGGUAAUCACCACUUCGCACACAAAUAUAUGAUCAAGCUAGGACAUUUAUAUGCAAUACAAUUGUUGAGGUAGUAUUGUGCUACGGUAGCACAUCAUUCAUGCAUCCGAGAAAUUAGGUGGCCAGAGAUUGUCACAUUUUAGCAGCAAUUUCCGGUCGCAUCAAUGAUUUUGUCGCACAUACAAUUGUGUCUGACGUCUCAUACGUAUAUUUUGUUCUGCGUGAAGCUGGCCAUAUGUUGGACUUGGGUUUUUUACCCAUGGAUGUGUAGAUGUUGAUCUAAGAGACUAUAUCACAACGGUAAAAAAUUAUUGUAAAAGGAAAUUGACAUAAAUUUAUGGACCAGCUGCCGUCCAUCGGUUAAUAAGAAUCCCAUGUCCAACAUAUCAGCUUCAUCCAGUACAAUAUUGCAUGACACGACAGAUACAUAUUUAUGUGUGACGAAAUCAAUAAUGCGGUCGGAAGUAGCUUCUAAAAUGUGGCAACCUCUGAUAACCUGAUCUCCAAUGCAUAAAUGAUAUGCCACCGUACACAAAUACGAUCUUAAAAUUGUAUUGUAAGUAAAUUUUCUAGUUUAAUCAUAAAUUUUUAUAUGGAGUUUUGAUUACCACAUUAGGUCGCGGUUAAUAAUUUUCGGUAGUCGCGGAUUAUUAUUAUUAUUAUUAUUGAAAAGGCAGUGGAUUUUUCCCGACAUUGUUUGAACACAAUUGCACUUCCAUCUACAACUAUACGAAUCUUCAAAUUAAAGUAUCUUUAUAAGUUUAAAUUAAAAAAAAAAAACACGUAAAAACAAUUUAGUUGCAACAUUGAAAAUGACCGGACACGAUUAACUCAAAGGAGUAAAUAGACAUGUUGGAGGUUAUAAAAGAGGCACGAAAUAUAUACAUAUAGGCAAAAGAAGAAGAACGGCAAUGUGCAUGUGUAGUAGUUUUCUCCACAUUAUGACAAGUGCUUUAACGGAAACAAGAAUCGGAAACAUGUCGAUCCAGUGUGAUAAUAAAACAGGUGAAGAUGAUGGUCGUAUAUGAUUCGAGGCGGUGAAACAAGUCGCAAUUUUCAUAACGAAAACGAUAUUGGAAAAUAGAAACACAGAAGAUUUAUAUGUCCAUAGAACUGGGUGGAAAUGAAAAUCUACCAAAUUCGCAAAUAGCGUCACUUCAGAUGUGAUCUUUAAGAAUCUACGUUGAAGUAAAUGUUUGAAAUUAAUAAACAUAAUAUCAUUGGACUGAAUAAGUAAAUAACAUAACCUCAUUAUACUCAUUCUAACAAAAAAAAAACUGCAAAUGGGUUAGACUUGGUGAUAUGUUCUCAAAGUGGGUCGAGAGAAACGGCCGUCCAUUGGAUAAACAAUAAUUAUCGAUUUCUGAAGGCGACAUAGCGCAAUCCCAUGUGGUAAUCACCACUUCGCACACAAAUAUAUGAUCAAGCUAGGACAUUUAUAUGCAAUACAAUUGUUGAGGUAGUAUUGUGCUACGGUAGGACAUCAUUCAUGCAUCCGAGAAAUUAGGUGGCCAGAGAUUGUCACAUUUUAGCAGCAAUUUCCGGUCGCAUCAAUGAUUUUGUCGCACAUACAAUUGUGUCUGACGUCUCAUACGUAUAUUUUGUUCUGCGUGAAGCUGGCCAUAUGUUGGACUUGGGUUUUUUACCCAUGGAUGUGUAGAUGUUGAUCUAAGAGACUAUAUCACAACGGUAAAAAAUUAUUGUAAAAGGAAAUUGACAUAAAUUUAUGGACCAGCUGCCGUCCAUCGGUUAAUAAGAAUCCCAUGUCCAACAUAUCAGCUUCAUCCAGUACAAUAUUGCAUGACACGACAGAUACAUAUUUAUGUGUGACGAAAUCAAUAAUGCGGUCGGAAGUAGCUUCUAAAAUGUGGCAACCUCUGAUAACCUGAUCUCCAAUGCAUAAAUGAUAUGCCACCGUACACAAAUACGAUCUUAAAAUUGUAUUGUAAGUAAAUUUUCUAGUUUAAUCAUAAAUUUUUAUAUGGAGUUUUGAUUACCACAUUAGGUCGCGGUUAAUAAUUUUCGGUAGUCGCGGAUUAUUAUUAUUAUUAUUAUUGAAAAGGCAGUGGAUUUUUCCCGACAUUGUUUGAACACAAUUGCACUUCCAUCUACAACUAUACGAAUCUUCAAAUUAAAGUAUCUUUAUAAGUUUAAAUUAAAAAAAAAAACACGUAAAAACAAUUUAGUUGCAACAUUGAAAAUGACCGGACACGAUUAACUCAAAGGAGUAAAUAGACAUGUUGGAGGUUAUAAAAGAGGCACGAAAUAUAUACAUAUAGGCAAGAGAAGAAGAACGGCAAUGUGCAUGUGUAGUAGUUUUCUCCACAUUAUGACAAGUGUUUUAGCAAAAACCUCACAAAAACAAUUUAGUUGCAACAUUGAAAAUGACCGGACAAGAACAUGUCGAUCCAAAAUGAUAAUAAAACAGAUGAAGAUGAUGAUCGUAUAUUGUUCGAGACGAUAGAACAAGUCACAUUUUUCAUAACGCAAACGAUACUGGAAAAUAGAAACACGGAAGAUUUAUAUGUCCAUAGAACUGGGUGCAGAUGAAAAUCUACCAAAUUCGCAAAUAACAUCACUUCAGAUGUGAUCUUUAAGAAUCUAUGUUAAAGUAAAUGUUUGAAAUUAAUAAACAUAAUAACAUUGGACUGAAUAAGUAAAAUAAUAUAAUUACAAAAUACUCAUUCUAAUAAAAAAAUACUCAAAUGGGUUAGACUUGGUGGUCUGUACUCAAAGUGGGUCGAGAGAAAUGGCCGUCCAUUGGAUAAACAAUAAUUAUCGAUUUCUGAAAGCGACAUAGCGCAAUCCCAUGUGGUAAUCACUACUUCACACACAAAUAUAUGAUCAAGCUAGGACAUUUAUAUGCAAUACAAUUGUUGAGGUAGUAUUGUGCUACGGUAGCACAUCAUUCAUGCAUCUGAGAAAUUAGGUGGCCAGAAAUUGUCACAUUUUAACAGCAAUUUCCGGUCGCACCAAUGAUUUUGUCACACAUACAAUUGUGUCUGACGUCUCAUCCGUAUAUUUUGAUCUGCGUGAAGCUGACCAUAUGUUGGACUUGAGUUUUUUACCCAUGGAUGUGUAGAUGUUGAUCUAAGAGACUAUAUCACAACGGUAAAAAAUUAUUGUAAAAAAAUUGACGUAAAUUUAUGGACCAGCUGCCGUCCAUCGGUUAAUAAGAAUCCCAUGUCCAACAUAUCAGCUUCAUCCAGAACAAUAUUGCAUGACACGACAGAUACAUAUUUAUGUGUGACGAAAUCAAUAAUGCGGUCGGAAGUAGCUUCUAAAAUGUGACAACCUCUGAUAACCUGAUCUCCAAUGCAUAAAUGAUAUGCCAUCGUACACAAAUACGAUCUUAUAAUUGUAUUGUUGAUAAAUUUUCUAGUUUAAUCAUAAAUUUUUCUAUGGAGUUUUGAUUACCACAUUAGGUCGCGGUUAAUAGUUUUCGGUAGUUAUUAUUGUUAUUAUUAAUGAAAAGACUAUAGGUUUUUCGCGUCACUGUUUGAACACAACCUAUCAAUUCCCUUCCAUCUACCACAAAACGGAUCUUCAAAUUGAAUUAAUUUUAUGAAGUUUCACAAGAAGUGCUGGGACAGAAACAAGAAUUGGAUAGUUGCCUAUCCUUAAGGAUAGAUUUGCCAACACUUACAUUUUGGGUGUCAAGCUCAAAAUUUUUUUAAUAAACCUCUCAAUUUCGUAUACUGUAACAAAAUUCCUACU